CCUACGGGUGGCAGCAGUAGGGAAUCUUCCGCAAUGGACGAAAGUCUGACGGAGCAACGCCGCGUGAGCGAUGAAGGUUUUCGGAUCGUAAAGCUCUGUUGUUAGGGAAGAAUAAGUGCGAGAGUAACUGCUCGCACCUUGACGGUACCUAACCAGAAAGCCACGGCUAACUACGUGCCAGCAGCCGCGGUAAUACGUAGGUGGCAAGCGUUGUCCGGAAUUAUUGGGCGUAAAGGGCUCGCAGGCGGUCUUCUAAGUCUGAUGUGAAAUCUUGCGGCUUAACCGUAAGCGGUCAUUGGAAACUGGAGGACUUGAGUACAGAAGAGGAGAGUGGAAUUCCACGUGUAGCGGUGAAAUGCGUAGAGAUGUGGAGGAACACCAGUGGCGAAGGCGACUCUCUGGUCUGUAACUGACGCUGAGGAGCGAAAGCGUGGGGAGCA
rnacentral:rRNA from 1 species